GUCACUGAGGCAUUUGCAGAAACACCUUGGAGGUGAUAGUUAUAAAAAAGCAUAUCCCUUUUCUUUAAGGAAGCCUACAAAGAGGAUGAGAAAAUGGAGGCCCUAAUUCAAAGGGAUCUAGCUAAUUACUUGCAGUCCUCUCUGUCCCUCUCAAGAGGCAGCGUUCUGUGUCUUCCGGCUAAGUGAACUCCCUGUUUCCAUCUAGGGAUUCCUAAAACGGACUAAGCUAACUGUCUGUGACACUCAAGUCAUUGAUUGGAUUGGUUCCCCAAUAAGCUGUCUCCGAAAAAUCGUUAUGAAUGAACUCCAACAACUAAGUCACCUCGUUGGCUCUGACCCCUGAGGUCAAAACCUGCAAGUUGAUGUGACAGGAAAUUUUCGCUGAAACCUUCUGAAAAGUAGAGCAGAUGCUGCAGUAUUCUUUGUGCCCAGAAGAUGACAGGGAAUGACUGUGCUGAUGUCCUCAAUGGCAAUGAAGUGGUCGAGAAAUAUUUACGAAGCACCUACUAUGUGUGAGUCCAGAGGCUAGGUCCUGGGGACAUGGAGACAAUCAUUGAAUGCACUCUGGAUGCCAGGAGCUGAAAUCCUUUUGGUGGAGAAAACUUGUGUGUAUGUGAAGGAGGAGCUGUAAAUAUUUGGGUCCAGAGAGCUGAGGAAAAUCCUUAAGUAGGGCAAGGUGUCAUGUUGAGUUUCCAAGGAAAGUAAGAAUUGGAAGGGGCAGAAGUGAGAAUCGAUGGAAUUGCAAGGCACCAUGAAGAAGUGAAUGGAGUAGAAGGGAUUUGUUGUGUAUGAAGAGUACGAGGAAGGAAGUAUGGCCGGGUCUUAGAAUACACAGUGUGAAAUGCCAUAUGAUAACUGUAGAUGGGUCAGUUGUAGGUGUUUCUAAAGUGUAGUCAGAGGCACAGUGGUUUAGAUUUGAUCCCAGAGCCAAUAGUGAUCCAGCAGAAUUUUUUGAAGCCCAGAAUGGACUUUGAGUGUCUAC